AACGAACGCUGGCGGCGCGCCUAAUACAUGCAAGUCGAGCGAGAAGACGUAGCAAUACGUUUGUAAAGCGGCGAACGGGUGAGGAAUACAUGGGUAACCUACCCUCGAGUGGGGAAUAACUAGCCGAAAGGUUAGCUAAUACCGCGUACGCUCCUUGGACUUCGGUUCAGGGAGGAAAGCGAUACCGUGGGUAUCGCGCUCUUGGAUGGGCUCAUGUCCUAUCAGCUUGUUGGUGAGGUAACGGCUCACCAAGGCUUCGACGGGUAGCUGGUCUGAGAGGACGGCCAGCCACAAUGGCACUGAAACACGGGCCAUACUCCUACGGGAGGCAGCAGUGGGGAAUUUUGCGCAAUGGGCGAAAGCC
rnacentral:rRNA from 1 species